rnacentral:rRNA from 1 species
UGAAUACGAGAUGCUACGGCGUCGAAGCAGUCUAUGUCAUACUUCCAAGAAAAGCUUGCACUGUCAUAAACAAAUAAUGCCUGUACCAUAACCGACACAGGUGGGUAGGUAGAGUAUACUAAGGGGCGCGAGAUAACUCUCUCUAAGGAACUCGGCAAAAUGACUCCGUAACUUCGGGAGAAGGAGUGCCUUAUUUAUAAGGUUGCAAUAACAAGAUCCAAGCAACUGUUUACCAAAAACACAGGUCUCCGCUAAGUCGUAAGACGAUGUAUGGGGGCUGACGCCUGCCCAGUGCCAGAAGGUUAAAGAAGUUGGUUAGCAUCCGCGAAGCUGAUAACUGAAGCCCUGGUGAACGGCGGCCGUAACAAUAACGGUCCUAAGGUAGCGAAAUUCCUUGUCGGGUAAGUUCCGACCCGCACGAAAGGCGUAAUGAUUUGGAUACUGUCUCGGAGAGGGGCUCGGUGAAAUAGACUUGUCUGUGAAGAUGCGGACUACCUGCACCAGGACAGAAAGACCCUAUGAAGCUUUACUGUAACCUGAAAUUGAAAUUGGACUUUACUUGCGCAGUAUAGGUGGGAGGCGUUGAGAAUAUUCUUGCGGGAUUAUUGGAGCCAUCAGUGAGAUACCACUCUUGUAAUGUUAGAUUUCUAACUUUGUAUCAUUAUCUGGUCAAAGAACAGUUUCAGGCGGGCAGUUUGACUGGGGCGGUCGCCUCCUAAACGGUAACGGAGGCGCACAAAGGUUUCCUCUGAACGGGUAGAAAUCGUAUCUAGAGUGUAAAGGCAUAAGGAAGCUUGACUGUGAGACCUACAAGUCGAGCAGGGACGAAAGUCGGUCUUAGUGAUCUGACGGUGCUGAGUGAAAGGCCGUCACUCAACGGAUAAAAGUUACUCUAGGAUAACAGGCUGAUCUCCCCCAAGAGUUCACAUCGACGGGGAGGUUUGGCACCUCGAUGUCGGCUCAUCGCAUCCUGGGGCGGUAGUACGUCCCAAGGGUUGGGCUGUUCGCCCAUGAAAGCGGUACGCGAGCUGGGUUCAGAACGUCGUGAGACAGUUCGGUCCAUAUCCGGUGUAGGCGUUAGAAUAUUGAGAGGAGCCUUCUUUAGUACGAGAGGACCGAGAAGGACAUACCUCUGGUGUACCAGUUAUCGUGCCAACGGUAAACGCUGGGUAGCUAUGUGUGGAGUGGAUAACCGCUGAAAGCAUCUAAGUGGGAAGCCCACCUCAAGAUAAG